UACAGAUUGAUUGAGUAGAAUCCACAUGUUUUAGAAGAGAUAGAUUUAAUAUCAUUUGUCGAAACUCCUUUGCAUGUUGCUCCACGUGCAGGCAUGUUCAAUUUGCCAAAGAAAUCAUGAUAUUAAAACCUUCAUUUUCUUGGAAAUUCAAUCCCCAAGGAUCGUGACCGGUCCACCUUGCUCUACAAAAUCGCAGUCGCAGAAUGGUCUUUCACCUUAUAGAGAUGGACAAUAGUCUCGUUUGAGCCAAAAUGAGAGGAGGUCUCACUCUUCUGCAUUUGUAAGGUACUUCUAAGUUUCUGACCCAAAUGAUAAUGCUUAACAUAUUUGAAUGCUAGGAAUAGAUUUGAAAUGUUAAUUGCUAUCAACAUGUGAUCUUACUUAUAAGUUGUUUUUAUAAAUAUGCGAGGAAUCAAUAUUUAGAAAACAUCUUAAUAAUUUUAUAGAUGCGAGGAAUCGACAGAAAUGUUUUUUAUACUAACAUCAAUAUGAAUCAAAUGGCACAAUAUUGUCUUGCUAAUCAAAAUACAAAAGAGUGAGAAAGAUGAACCUCAAUCCCUAUUUUUCCAAUUGAUACAACAAACUCUUCGACUUGUUUUCUUAUUAAUCAUUGUCAUCAUAACAACUCUCGACAAACUUUUAUUAUUUUGUUUUAUAUUUAGUGAAUUUAUUCCUUGUGGGUUCGAUAUUUGUUCUUAGGGACAAAUUAUUACUUCUGACAACACGAUGUACUUACUAUAGAAAAGUCAUCAACUACCUUCUCUACCCUAAUGAAAGAAGAAAUGUUGAACUGAUCAAGUCAUUGUCAAGACCUAUAAAUUGCAAAGGUCUUCUUAACGUUCCUCUGGUUGAGUACCCUACAACACUCUUCAUAGGUAAUGUUUGUAUGAGUUGUGAUGCAAUUCUUAUGGAUGCUUCUUGGAUGAAUCUUGAAGGAAUGGUGGAAUGGAUAUGACGCAUAAGCGUUUUAAGAAUUUAUGCUGCAGGAAGUGAUGCGCAUACAAUGAAGGAGAAAAAGAUGAAUGUCACAAGCUUAUGGAAGGAAUGGAAGGUGGCUACGAUGGUGUUCUGGAGAAGGAAGAGAGGUUAGGUCAACUCUUGGAAAGUUCUGGGCUGAAUUCUCAAAACUGAGCGCUACUGAACCAAUUAUCAAAAUGAUGUCGUUGGGAGAAAAUAUGCCAGUGAAUCCUAUUGAUUGAUAUUCUUUACUUGUUUUGUAUUGUUAUCUUUUGUUUUGUUUAUUUUCAUUUCCAGUGUUGUACAUUAGUUGUUGAGUGUUAUAUAAACGAUUUUGUUCCAAGAUUUUGAACUUGCACUAGAGAGUCCAUGAGAGUUGUAUGAAGAAAAAUAGAAUAUGUGUAUUGUACCUUUUGGACCUUAAGAUUGAAAGAAUACAUGAGAUUAUAAAGAGGGGGUAUACAUUUGGUUACGUCACUCUGGCAAGAUGAUUCUUCAUCUAUGGUAAUAGUACAGCGGUCGGGGAAAAUGACUCGCCAAAGGGAAACAUGUUGAAGCUGUGGUUACCGAUGGAGCAACAGGAAAGACUCUACAAAGCAGCAGCAAGAAAAAGUAGUUGUUGGCUAACUUUAUUUGUACUUUUGCAGUUCUACCCAAAUAUACAAGGAAGUAGAAUGAUAGUUGAUGGCGCUAUGACCGUAUUGCAACUGCCAAGGAUCAAUAAAUCUGGAGAUUUUUAAGUUGUUACCACGUGUGCUGAGGAGGGUGCAAACACCUAGUAGGUGGAGCUAGCUAUGGUGAACACGUAAGAAGAGGCUUGGCUGGAACGGAUGAAGGAAAGGUCAAUGGGCUGGGUUGUGCUACACUGCUGAGCACAAUUCUUUUUGUGGGGACUGUGAAGCUGUAUUAAUUACACUCAUGUCUUUGGAAUGGUGUACCCCACUCAUGAACUAUGCAGGUGUUUCAUUGAUUCAUUGGUUCAUUGGACCGUUAGCCUUGUUAGCCUGAGGCCCAAUAGCAAGGCUUCUCCAUCCUGUAGAUUUAGCUUUGGGUUUGGGGGGAAUUACUAGUACAACUCUGUUUACUUUUCUGGUGUGUUGCUGAACAUUUAUACUAGGUAUGGAUCUGUAAAAGGGUUGGGACACCUCUUAAGUGUCCCCUCUUAUUUUAUUAAUUCAUUGUUGUUCAAAAAAAAUAAAAUUAUAAAGAGGGUUUGAAGAUAGUAAUAUAACUCCUUAUACAACUUCAUCAAUGAUACUAAGCAUUCUGAGUUUGAAGAAAUGACAUUGAAUAGAGAGAGAACUUUGAAAUAGUUAGCCAAUCUAGACAUUCAAUAUCAACACCCAUGUAUUCAGUUUCCACAACUAAUAAAAGCAACAAUUAAUUAUGAACUUAAAUAUGGACAUAUAUAUUUGCUACCUAAACCUUAUGGACUAGCAGAAGAAGCCCUCACAAGCAUUUAAUGGAAUUCCAUGUGGUGUGUUCUGAUGAGUGUCUAAUUUCAGUAAUAUUGCAUAUUAAAAUAUAGGUACUUAUGAGUAUUAAUUGCUAAAAUACAUAUAAAAUAAUCUUAAUUUAUGAAUUUAUAUAUUUUUACAUUUUUUAUGAUCUGUAUUUGAAUAAGAACAUUUUAUUCCCAAAUUUAGUAUUAAUUUCAGGUUUCUAAGGAAGAAUGGAGAUUUGGACUAAAGAAGAAUGAUAAAAGCUAAAAGGAGAAAGCUGGAAUACCCAGAAACGCACAAAAAGCACAAAAAGUCCAACUCAGUAGCAGAAGUUCUCGCUUGAGCAAGAAUGCGUUAGACAAAUUGGGUCAUUUUAUGUUUUUAUCAAUAAGCCCAUCAGUGCAAUGCAGGAAGUCACCUAACCCUAGCAAAUUCGAUUAAAUAUGGGGUUAAAGGCACGACCCUAGUGUGCAAGAUUGAGAGGAAAAUAACAUUGAGUGACUCGUAACCCAAUUGAGAGAUUAGAAGGUGUCAGAAGAAGCGUGGCUAAUUCUACCUUGUGCAUUUGGGAGUAAUUUGUUUGAACUCUUAUGUAUUGAGGUGAUAUUUAAAUAUGAUAUAAUAUUUUGUUCUUGAUUGAUUAUUGGUAUUGUUGGAUUUUGUUUUCUUGUUAAUCAUUGUCAUUCCACACACUUUUUAUUAUUUUGAUUUAUAUUUAGUGAAUAUUUUACUUGAUUAUUCAAUUGUUCCUCGUGGGAUCGAUAUUCGUCCUUAGGGACAAAUUAUUACUUCUGAAAACGUGGUGCACUUGUCGUAAAAAGUCAUUAACGAUAUGAGACUAGUUGAUGUACCUGAGGAAUUGGUCAAGAUAAAGGCUUAUAAUUUUCAUUAUCUGAUAUGGCCAAGGAUUGAUUAUACUUAGACUGACUCCUGCUACUACAUGGACUGAUAUGAUGAGAUGAUUCCAAAAAAAGAAAUUCCCUUCUUCUAGAAUUGCUUUAAUAAGAGAAGAAAUUAGUGGAAUUAGACAAGGAGAAACUCUCUAUGAAUAUAAGGAGAGAUUUCAUAAAUUGUGCUCUACAUGUCCUGAUCAUCAAAUAAAUGAACAAUUUCUAAUCCAAUAUUUUUAUAAAAUUUUACUACUAAUGGAGAGAAGAAUGAUUGAUGCACGCUGAUGGAAAAAAUAUCCAACUACUAUAUAAAUUUGAUCUCUAACAUGGUAAAAAAUUCACUACAAUUAAUUCAAUUUAAGAAAUUCAAUCAAAUCAAUACACGAAGUAAAGUCUUAUCUAUCCGAUGUAGAUAAAAGUCCAAGGAUACAAAACAAAUUGACUUAGUUGACUUAGUAACACAACUUGCCAUGGGCUAGCAAGUAAACUCAAUACAACUCAAUAUGUAGAAAACAAGAGUAUGUGAUAUAGAUCAUCCAACAGAUGUUCAGAUGUUUGGUUGCAGUGUCAAGAGACAACUAAGCCUUCUAUACAAAUUCUUUGUAUAGAAGAAGUUGUUGGAGUUUUCACAAGAAAACAAGGAAUUAGUUGUCAAAUAUUUGCAUGGGCUAAUUGGGGAUGUGAUUCUCGUCGGCAAAACGGACGCAAAACUCACGCAUAAUUGAUUUUGAAGACUAUGAGACACAAAACGAACGCAUGUACGGAUUUAGUUAAAAAAAAAUUAUUUUGCAUCGGCCAGUGUUGAAUGUAUGCGUCGGCCAGGCCAAUGAUAAAUUAAUUUUUUUUAACUUAUUUAUUUUAAAUUUAUUUAAUGUAUAACAUUAUAAGAAAUAUUUUAAUACUUAAUUUUUUAUUAUAUUUAUUUUAAAUUUAAUUUUUUAAUAUUAUAAUAAAAUAUUUAAUAUUAAACUUUUUAAUAUAAGUUAGUUAUAUUAAAUUUAUUAAAUUAAUUAAGUGUUUGAUUCUAAAAUUAUUUAAAGAAAUUAUCUUAAAAUGUUUAAGAAGAAUUAAAAAAAAAUACAGAAAAAUAAUAAUUGAGUAAAAGAAAACACGUAUUUAAAUUAUUUAAAUGUUAUAUAAAAUAUUUUAUUAUUUUAAAUAUUAUUUAUUUUAAAUUUAUUUGAUUUAUAUAUUGCCACAAAUAUUUUAUUUUUAAAAAUUUUGAUCUAAAUUAGUUAAAUUAAAUUUAUUAAAUUGAUGAAGUGUUUAAUUUUAAAAUUGUUUAAAGAAGUUAUCUUAAAAAGUUUAUAAAAAUUUAAAAACAUGUAGAAAAAAUAAUAAUUGAGUAAAAUAUAGUAAAAAAAAUUACAUAUUUAAGUUUUAUAAAUAUUAUAUAAAAUAUACAUAAAUUUAAGAAUAUAAAUUUAAGAUGAAGUAAUUAAUUAAUGUAAAAAGUAAUGGAUGUAUUUAAAAAUAGAGAGUCAAUUUUAUCUAAAAAUGUUUCAUUUUUCUUAAGAAAAAAAAGUUAGAUAAAACUUUUGAUUAGUAACUUAAAUAAAUUUAAAUGUUAUAUCUGUGCAAUGGAUGAAUGAACUAAGGAUUUUGCUUUGAUAUCCAUUAUAAUUUUAAAGAUGUUACUUCUCAUAAAUGAAGCAAAAGAUCAUUUAAAGAAUUAGCGAAAAUGUAUAUGAUACAAACAUAUUAAGACUAAGUGCGUGAGUAAGUUAUUCUUAAUUGUUAGAUUUCUAUAAUAUCCAAAGUGUCCCAAAGUUGACCACAUGCUGUAUAAAUAUCAUUUUUAUAGUUACUGUGUAUGAUCUCGAAAAGAAAUUGAUGUUUUCCAACUAAGAAAUGCAUUGUAAAGGCUGGAAGAGGGUAUCAUGAUUUUUUUUCAAAUAUGACUCAUUGAUAUUUGUGAUAGUAUAUAUAAUUAACUUAGAAUCAUGAGAUAGAGUUGAUUAUUAGAUUUUCGAUUAUAAGUUCAUAACCCUAGUCCAUUGCAAUUUUGGGUGGAACAUUUGUACUUGUUUUCUUAUUACACUUAGAAAGGUAAGAGUUGAAGUAAGAAGUGAAUUAUAAAGGCUAAAAGAGGGUAUCAUGAGCAAUUUCAAUAAUAUGGUUCAUUGAUAUUCGUGGUAGUAGAUGUUAUUUCACAAACAAAUUAUACUUAAUUUGAUGGAAUUUUUUGAUCUGAAAGAAAGCCUUUUUUUUUCAAUAUCGUACCUUAAGAGUUAUUUUUUAGUUUCGUCAAGAUAUUAAUAAAUUGGUUAUUUGUACAUAAUAAUAGAUAGAAAGAAUACUUGUAAGGCUAAAUGGUUUUCCAAACCAAAGUUUAAUUGAAUUAUGCAUUUAUUUUUAUUGUAUGAAUUAAAUUAAUUUGUUGUUGUAUAAAUUUAAUUAAUUUUGUUUGUAUAAAUUAAACUAUUUUUUUGUUGUAUAAAAUAAAUUAAUUUAGUUUUUUAUAAAUUAAAUAGAUUUAUUGUUGUAUAAAUUAAAUUAUUUUUUUUACAAAUUAAAUUAAUUUGAUGUUGUAUAAAUUAGUUUUCUUUUGUAUAAAUUAAACUAUUUUUUAUUGUAGAAAUUAAAUUAAAUUAUUUUGUAAAAAUUAAAGUAAUUUUUUAUUGUAUAAAUUAAAAUAAAUAUUUUUGUAUAAAUUAAAUUAAAUUAAUAUUUUAUUUUAUAAAUUAAAUUAAAUUGUUUUUUAUAAAUUAAAAAAAGUUUUUGUUGUAUAAAUGAAAUUAAUUUUUUUAUACAUUAAAUUAAUGUUUUUGUUAUAAAAAAUAAAAUUAUAUACUUUUUUAAAUUUAAUUAAAUUUUUUAAAGUUUUAAUUUAGUUUUUAAAUUUUGAAUUUAAUUUUAAAUUUAAUUAAAAUAAAGUAUUUUAAGGUAUGCGUCGGUUGUGAUCUGUUUAUAAAAUUUUCGUUGUCCCCGCUUUCCCAACAUUCCCAACAGUUUCCCCAAAUUUCAAAACCUAAUUUCACUGCCUCUGCGAGCCUCCUCCGCGACAUUGUCUCCUCCGCGUCGCGUCACUGAGCCUCCUCCGCGUCCGCUGCUGCUCAGUCGUCGCUCACCUCCGUGACGUCGUAGUGUGAGCUUCCCUGCACCGUGUCUCUAGUCGUUCACCGUCACGAUUCAGCUCCAGCACUUGCUCCAUUGUUGCUGGCAGAGGUAAAUGUUUAAAGGUUCAUAAUUUUUUGAUUCAUUUUUUUUGGAUUAUUGGACUGCAAUGUGUUGGUGUUAUGUGUUGGUUGCUACUGAUGUCAUUUAAACUGGAUGAGUUGAAACUGUGAUUAUUAAAAAUUGCAUGUCUAGGGUUUGACUUUGCAUUUUUUGGAUAAAGAUGAAUCUCGGUUAUGUAGGAUUUUUGAUUUUAAAUGUAGAAUUUUGGAGUGCAAGAGGUUGUGAAUGUUGAAAAUUGUUGAAAAUGUAGAAGUGUUGAAUGAGGGAGAUAAACGUUUUCAUAAAUUCACAUGUUUGUUCUUAUUAUCAGUAAUAUGAUAAUGCAAAGAAUAAACUUUUUCAUUUUUUCAUUCGUUAUUUAAAAAAAAAUCAUGGAUGAACAAAAUAAAUAUGUUAUGCGUAAUGGGAAAAUUUAUGGGCAAGAUUAGGGGAAAUUUAUGAAGAAAUUUUUUUAGUGACGUGGGGUGUUUAAAUGAAAUAGGGGAUGCAGAAAGUAAAAAAUAAAGACAACAGAUUGGGCCAGAAACUUUGAAAUACUUAUGUAGAGUGUGUAAAUUAAAUAAGGGGUAGAGAGUAAAACAUUUGGGCAUCAUAUUGGGCCAGAAAAUUAAAAAUAUUGAUGUGGGGUGUGUAAAUUAAAUAAAGGUUGUAGAGAAUAAAAACUUUGGGCAGCAUAUUGCGUAUGCGUUAAAUGAAAUUAUGAUGUAUGUAUUACGAUGUAUGAAUGAGGAUGUAUGAAUUAUUGUACUAUAUUUAGCUUGAACAUUUUUGUAUCCUAUUCGUCUAGGAUUUACAAAAAGAAGAUUCUUAUACUAACACGAUAAUUAUUGUAUCCUAUUCCUCGACACCGUCUUCUAUCCCGUCUUCCUCCAUCCCGUUGUCCUCUAGCAUGGAGAAUUUCGGUAUGCAUAUCCACACCCCACUAUAUCACCUCAUCACACACAUAUUUCAUCAUCUUCACACCCUCUUUGUAUUUCAAUACCACCAGGGCCAUCAUUCUCUGUUUCAACUUACCAUCAGAGUGUCCCUACACCACUCCACCAGACUUGGAGUUUUCCACUCCAGCCUACCCCUGGUACAUUUGUGCAGCCCACCCUUGGUACUUUUGUGCAGGCCACCCCUGGUACAUUUGUGCAUACUACUCCUUAUCCCAUUGUCCUCACCACAUCUUCUCCAUUUAUCCCGACUACUGCUAGCUCUGUGCAAGGCCUCUUUGACCAUGUUGACCAUGGUGCCGCUACUGCUUCAGAGCACAACCUCACCCCUAAGGAGGUCCAGCGUGACCCUAUUGGUAGGGUCAUCAUCCGACUUCUUAGUAGAGAUUAAGUCAUCCUAAAUGUAUAUUUAAUUUUAUCUUUAUAUUACUAUGUCUGUAAUUUGAUUUGUUGUAGUAGUUGGACGCCAAAUCAUUGUGCUAGUGAGGCCACUGGAAAUUGCAUUCGAUCUCAAUUUAGAGGUUCAUAUCAUCAUUAUGAUGCCAUGCUUGAGGAGGACAAAUUGAAAUGGUGGACUGGCUUUUAGGUAAUUUAAAAUUUUGACAAACUAGAGUCACUUGUUUUCUUGUGGACUGAAACAAACUAUUUUCUUGUUUUUAACAGACUAGAGUUACUUGGGAACCUCAAGAUGAAUGCCAAAUUAAAAAGGUCUACGAGUCUAAAGUUAGAAAAAGACUUUGUGACAUGUUGAUCAAAGCUAGGGCAAAGGGUGUCCAAUCUAUUUGGAUAAGUGACCAAGCAUAGGCUGUACUUCUAAACUAUUGGGAUUCACAACAAUUCAAAGAUAAAUAAACUCAAAAUAAAGCCAAUAGGGGUUUAGCUUGUGGUGGAGAACUUCACUUCACAGGUCGAAAAUCACAUUCAGAUAUUGCAGUGACCUUGGUAAGUACUUGUCACCACCUUACAUGAAAAUAAUUUUACAUUUGCAACCUAUAAUGCUUUUAAUUGUACAACAUUGUUAGGAACGUCAAUAUGGUCGUCGUCCAGAACCUGAUGAACUAUUUAUGGCCACCCACACAAACAAGAAGGGUGAAUGGGUUGAUACUCGUGCUCGUGAAACCUAUGUAAGUUAUUCUUUUAACUUUUUUAUAUUUAUAUUUUAAUUCCUAACAUUUUCAUUUGCUAAUGAUCUAUGUAGGAAAACUAUCAUGAGUGCUUGAGGACCCUUCAAGUAAAUAGUUCUCAGAACUCUAACACUCAUGUCCACCAAGUUGACCCUGCAACUAAGCUUUAAACUUGGAAGGAAGCUAUCGGAGGAAAGAGUGGAGGUCGAGUGUAUGGUACGACAAACUUGGUUGCUAACUUCUGCCAAGGAGUCUCUUCCCUGACUCAAGUCUCUGCUUCCGACACUUCACAAUCUGAGCAUGUGAUUGAAAAUCAAAUGUUUCAUGCUAAACUUAGUAUGUGGAGUCAAAGGUAUGCACACCUGGAGGAUGAGAUGAAGGUUAUAAAAGAAAAAGUUAUCUAAAUGGGACGUGACAAAAAUGCUUCCUAUAGCAUCACUCAAUUUGAUCAUGAGUAUGAUCUAAAGCAGGAUGAUCAACUUGUUCCUUAAAGUGCAUCCUAUACUGUCAGUUUAACUAUUUGACAUUUUUAUUAUAUACUAAGUAUAUUAAUUAUUUCAUAUUUUUAUUUAUAUUGUUUGUAUUUUUUUUACAGGUUUUUAUAGAUCACAUCACUAUGGGAUUCAUUUUAGUGCUUUUAGUUAAAUUUGUAAAAUACAAUUUUAAUUUUAAUAUUUAUUUUUAAGUAUUCUUAUCCAUUUUGAAUAUUUGAAUGGAUCAAAGACUUUGUUUAAGUAUUUGUAUUAUUUUUGUACUCUGGAUGUGUUUGUGGAUGUAUUGUGAAUGAUAGUAAUUUGUCUAAAUGUGAUUAAGUUGGUAUUUAUUGUUUACACGGUAAACUAGCUACAAAACAAAAUAAAUUGUUUUUUUAUCCCUUUAUGCGUCGGUCUUUGGCCCAUGCAACAUCUGAUUUUUUUUCAUUUCAUCGGUCAAGCUGACGCAUAAGCGAUAUUUUAAUUUUGCGUCGGUUUGGCCUACGCAUAAGCCACCACAAUUUGCGUCCGUUUUGCGUGGGCCACGCAACGUUCGUCCAACUCGCUCACCCACACUCAUUUCCAUUUGAUUCCAAGGUUUUUUCGUUGAAGUGCUGGCCAACGAAAAUCCAACGCAUAAGCGUCGAGUUUUUGCUUGUUACGUUCGUUUUUGGACCACAAAAUAUUAUAUUUUUCUUGUAUCCACAACAACAAAACUUCGAUGAACCACGACAUCAACAACCACAUCAAUAGACAUACAAUCUCUACUCAAAUACUUAAUGACUUCGCUGGAAUUAGUCCAACCAUAUGUAUGCACAAAAUUCUUCUAAAGAAUGACUUAACCGAUUAUACAACCCCAAAGAAGACUCAGUCCUAAACUUCUAGACGUAGUGAAAAUCAAGGUGACUAAGAUAUUGAAGGUUGUGAUCAUCUACCUAAUAUCUAAUAGUACGUGAGUGGUUGUUUCUUAAUUGUAUGUGGUUGAACUUCGGAAACGAACAUGAAUAUAUAUUUAAAAUUGUACUUUGGAAUUCUUGGUGUAAAUGACAAAGCUGCUGUUAUGGAAGACUAUGUUUCCUGAAGAACCCCAAGGCAUAUACUUAAAAGUCUGCCUGCACCACAGUAAAAUUGAAAUUUGGUAAAAUUCAUUUUAUUGUAUCGGAAGACCGUAAGUGUAUUUGUUGGACAGGAUAUAUCUGGACCAAAAGGGUGGUGCUGGACAGGUGCAGGGGCACUCCUCAAGUGCUAUAUUAUGCUUUUCAUCCUCCAUAUUAUCAUGAAGAUUGUGCCAUCAGUGCUGGUGUAAUUUGAUGCAGGUUUUCUACUGGAUUUACCAGUAGAAGAAGUAUGUGAGUUGGAUAUGGGUUGUAGAGCUAUAUAAGAAGCUAAAGUUUGUUUGUUUGUUUUUUUAUAAGCAAUAAUAAAUAAAUAAAUAAAAUCAUUUUAGGAGUGAUUCAACCGAUAUACAAAACACGACACUAUUAGCACAUCUCUCCAAAGCACCCACUACCAAACGAGGAAAAGAGCCACGACCUAUCAGAAAAUAACCAACCAACAAACAAACAACAAAAUAGAACAGAGAUGAACAAAAGAGAACAUAGAUGAACAAAAGUGUAAACUAAAGACAAAGAAUAUGAGAAUGAAUAUCUCUUCUUUCUUGUUAUUCCAAUCAAAACAAAUGGUCUGAAUAUAUACAAGUAGUACACUCAUUCUAGGGUUUAACUAAAGAAGGAAAGAAUCAAUAAUUAAAUACUAGAACCAUAACACACAAAGAUAAAAAUAAAGGUUAUUCCCCUCUAUAAAGAGAAAUAACUGAUAAUUAGAAAAGACACCCAAUUAUUCUCUUCUAUAAAGAGAAACAACUGAUAAUUAGAAAAAGACACUUAAUUAUUCUUCUCUAUAAAGGGAAACAACUGAUAAUUAGAAAAGAUUCCUAAUUAAUAUUAGGAUCCUUCUGUAACUCUGGUAUCCGUAUCCUUUAAUAUCCCGCCACAAGCUGGAGAGCAAAUAUUGAUGAGACCCAGCUUGGAACAAAUAUUCUUAAAAGAUUGAGGACUUAAAGCUUUGGUAUAAAUAUCAGCCAGUUGCUCUGUGGUGAAAAUGGGAAGCAAAUGGAUGAGACCCUUCUUUAACUUUUCCCUGACCACGUGACAAUCUAUUUCUAAAUGUUUUGUACGCUCGUAAAAUACUGGAUUUGCUGCAAUGUAUCUUGCUGAGUCAUUGUCACAGUAUAAAAGAGAUGUUUGCUCAAAAGGAACUUUGAAAUCUUGAAGAAGAUAAGUUAGCCAUUGAAUUUCAAAUGUAAUAGUGGCCAUUGCCCUAUAUUCAGCUUCACAAAAACUCUUUGAUAUUGUUCCUUGCUUCUUUGAUUUCCAAGAUAUGAGAGAAUUCCCAAGAUACACACUAAAACCAGUCACUGAUUGUCUUGAAUCACUGCAGGUGCCCCAAUCACUAUCACAAAAGGCUUUGAGAUGAACAGAAGUAGUGGAAGAGAAAAAUAGACCAAGACUUGGAGCCCCCACUAGCGCAGAAAUGCUAAUCAAAUGCGGCUAUAGAGCCGCAUUUGAUCAACACACAGUUGUAAAUCAGAGAAAUACAAAUGCGGCUGUAGAGCCGCAUUAGUAAAUGCGAUUUACGAAUGCGGUUAUUUGAAAUAGCCGCAUUUGUAUAUUCUUCUGAAUGAGCUGGGGUUUUAGGGGCACGUUGUUGGUGAAGAGUGGAAGGGGAGAAGAGGAAACACGGCAGCGGCGGCGAGUGCGGCGGCGGAAGCAGUGGCGGAGCGGCGAGAGCGAAAUGCGACAGCGACGGAAGCAAUAGAACAAUACACCUUCAAAAUGCAAAGCGAAACCCAUUAAUAACGAGAGCAAUAUGGAAAGCGAAAGCCAUUGGAGUUCAGUGCAGUUGUUAGGGGCAAUAGAAAAAAGAGAAUGAGGGGCAAUGUAGUUACGUACCUUCGAAAAUGCAGAACUUCGCAACCAGAGAAAAUGAAGAACAGAUAUGAGCGCAAACAGAGAAUGAACGAAAUUGUUGAGCGCGUAAAAUUUUUAAGGUAAAAACCAUUUACAAAUGCGGCUAAACGUAAAAACCGCAUUUGUAAAUCAAGCUUUUUGAUUUACAAAUGCGGCUAUUUGAAUAACCGCAUUUGUAAAUCAAGCGCUUCGAUUUACCAAUGCGGCUAUUACUUUUAGCCGCAUUUGUAAAUGGAAGCUCUUGAUUUACAAAUGCGAUUAUUUAAAUAACCACAUUUGUAAAUCAAAAUAAUUUCAAAAAUGCCACUGCGUUUUUUACGAAUGCGUUUAAGCGCUGAACCGCAUUAAAUACGGAGCGUUCUUUUCUUAUUUUUGUACUAGUGCCCUUUGAUAUAUCUGAGAAUUCUAAUCGCUGCAUUAUAGUGAACAAUUGUAGGCUUAGCAUGAAACUGAGAAAGUUGUUGCACAGAAAAUGUUAUGUCAGGUUGGGUAUUAGUGAGAUACAUAAGCCUUCCAAUAAAUCUUCUGUAGGCUUGAAUAUCUGUGAAAGGAAUACUUCCAGUAGAAGAGAAUUUCUCAUGAUUAUCAAUAGGAGUGAGUGCAGGUUUGCAGGCUAAAAGACCUGCAUCGGUUAAUAAUUUCAAUGCAUAUUUCCUUUGAUUUACCAUUAUUCCUGUCUUACUUCUUGCUACUUCUAGACCAAGAAAGUAUCUUAAAUUUCCAAGAUCUUUAAUCUUGAAUGUCUGAUUCAAGGCUUGUUUGAUUCGAACAAUCUCUUUUUUAUCAUUUCCUGCCAAUAUUAUAUCAUCCACAUAUACCAAUAAUGUUGUAAAAGAUCCUUCAGAAAAAUUAAUGAACAAGGAAUGAUCAUUCAUAGAUUGAGUAUAUCCCAUAGAAAGCAAAAAUGAUGACAGUUUGGCAAACCAUUCUCUGAUGGCUUGUUUAAGGCCAUAUAAAGCCUUUUUUAGUUUACAAACUUUUUCUGGUGGAAUAGAAGUCAAUCCAGGAGGAGCAACCAUGUAUACAUCUUCUUUCAAAUCUCCAUGUAAAAAGGCAUUGUUUAUGUCUAAUUGUUUCAAUUCCCAAUUAUAAAUAGAAGCUAAAGAAAGAAGCAACCUUAUGGUGGUCAUGUUUACUACUGGAGAGAAAGUAUCGAAGUAGUCAAUGCCUUCUGUUUGUGUAUAUCCCUUUGCCACUAACCUUGNNNNNNNNNNNNNNNNNNNNNNNNNNNNNNNNNNNNNNNNNNNNNNNNNNNNNNNNNNNNNNNNNNNNNNNNNNNNNNNNNNNNNNNNNNNNNNNNNNNNGGAAUAACAAAGACUUGACUAGAAACAUUGUCACUGGAUUUGACCUGUUGUAAAAGAGCUAACAAUGUUUGAUACUGGUCAGGAGUAAAACCAAUUUGUUGAGACUUCACUUCUGACUUUGAACCUUCAUGAUUCUGCUCAUUAUUGUUAAAAUUUGUAUUGUGAAAAGCUGCAUGACUUUGAUGAUGGUUCUGAUUUUUAAAUUUGAAAUAAGGUGGAAAACCACACUUUUUAUAGCAUGUACCAAUGGUAUGCCCUGUCUUUCCACAACAACUGCAAAUUUUGGAAGUAUAUACUCCUCCAUAGCUUCCACUUCCAUAUCCACCACCCAUGCCAUAGGUCGUAGCAUUGUUACUAUAACCUCCUUUGCUAGUAGCAAUCAUUACCUUGGAUUGAUCACUAAAAACUUGCCUCUCUUGUUGUGUAAUGAGAAAGUAAACUCUAUUCAAGGAUGAAUUAUCUGAUAAACUAACAUGGUAAGGUGAACAAAGAUCUUGUGAGGGAUCAACAACUUCACCCAUAGAUAAAUGUAGCAACCAGAGCACUAAUUAGAGCUCUGAUACCAAAUUACAAAAUAGAACAGAGAUGAACAAAAGAGAACAGAGAUGAACAAAAGAGUAAACUGAAGACAAAGGAUAUGAGAAUGAAUAUCUCUUCUUUCUUGUUAUUCCAAUCAAAACAAAUGGUCUGAAUAUAUACAAGUAGUACACUCAUUCUAGGGUUUAACAAAAGAAGGAAAGAAUCAAUAAUUAAAUACUAGAAUCAUAACACACAAAGAUGAAAUAAAGGUUAUUCCCCUCUAUAAAGAGAAAUAACUGAUAAUUAGAAAAGACACCCAAUUAUUUUCUUCUAUAAAGAGAAACAACUGAUAAUUAGAAAAGACACCCAAUUAUUCUUUUCUAUAAAGAGAAACAACUGAUAAUUAGAAAAGACACUCAAUUAUUCUUCUCUAUAAAGAGAAAAAACUGAUAAUUAGAAAAGACUCCCAAUUAAUAUUAGGAUCCUUCUGUAACUCUCUGGUAUCCGUAUCCUUUAAUACAAACAAACUAAAAGCCUCCUAAAGAAUAACCAAUCCAAACUCACAAACAGCCAACACUCAACCCACACAUAGAAACCAAUCAAAGAUAACAAUAAUCGAACAACUUAUAACAAAUUGAGACAAGACAUAGGGGCCAAACACCAAUCAGAAAAGGAAAAUUGAGCAACGAGAACUUUAGAGGUAACCCAAGUCCAAACAUUCAGUUCAGCCAAAGAAAAGAUUUCAAGAUGAUCCACCAUUCUACCAAUGAAAAUGAUCUUAUUUCUAUGAUUCUACAUCUCCCUUACCACAACAAUCCACACGCUACCCAAAACAAAGUUGACAGAAACAGAUGCCUUGCAUAAAGAAAACUUAAUAAAAUUUGAGAAGGGAUCAAUGGGAGUAGCCGACACCAAACCUAACCACGAAAGACACUGGUUCCAAACUAACCAGGCAGUUAUGCACCCAAAGAACAAAUGAUUCGUAGAUUCCUCUUGUACCCCGCACAAGUAGCAAAUAAUAUUGUCAACCACCACUCCUCGCCUAACCAAAUUAACUUUAGUAGCAAUCUUAUUUUCCAACACCCUAUAGGCCAAAACCUGAGCAGCAGGGAGAACCUUACAAUUCCAAAACAUAUUAUAAAAGAACAAGAACUCCCCUUUGCCUUCUCCCCUCAACAGACUAUAGGCAGAUUUCACCGAAAAGAUAGGGGGCGCAUUACCUUUCCAGGACCAGCAGUCAUCAGAACCCAAAACAAGACCCAACCCAGUAACCUCCUCAUACAACUGAUAGACCUGAGUCUUCUCCCACUCAAACAAACUUCUAUGCCAAACUAGAUUCAACUUCCACACACCGUUAACCCAAUUCCCACAAUCCUCCAGCAAAGACUCUUUAUUGAUGCUCAGGGAAAACAAUCUCGGAUAUUUGCCUUUCAAAGCAACAUUACCCACCCAAAUAUCUUUCCUAAACAAAAUACCCUUCCUGUAACCUAGUUCUCAGUUAACACGAUCUUCAAACUUGUCACCCCAAUCCUUCGACACCCACACCUCCUUCAAAUCUUUCCACCAAAGGGACCCAGACCUGCUAGGAUUGGAUACUUUCAAACUUCUCCAGCCUCCAUACUUGGACUCUAAAACCUCCUUCCACAACCAUCCUUGGAGGAGACCAUCCUCCAAAUCCAUUUUCCAAAUAGAGCUACAUUAAAUAGUUUAAUAUUAAUAACCCCAAGACCUCCAGCAUCACGUGACUCACACACCUUUUUCCAAGAGGCUCACGCACUCUUUCUCCCUUCGGACCCCCAACCCAGAAGAAGUCCCUUUGCAAUUUCAUAAUCUUCUUCACCACAACAGAAGGAAUUUUAAACAAAGAAAGGUAAAACAGAGGAAUAACAGACAUAACAGACUUGACAAGGCAAAUCCUCCCGGCCAUCGAAAUAAACUUACCUUUCCAUCUUCCCAAUCUAGUCUUUAUUUUAUCCACCACCCUAUCCCAAAACACUUCGUUCUUAUGACACCCCCACCAACAUCCCAAGGUAUUUGAAGGGGGUUUUCAUCACCUUACAGUUAAGAAUAUUCGCGAAACGACAGAUCAUAUGGUACCCCACCAAUACUGUUUUUCAAGAAAUUCAUCUUUAGUCCUGAAGCCAACUCAAAACAGCUUAACAUGACCUUUAUAUUAAACACACUUUUGAUAUUCGUUUUGCAGAAAAAUAGAGUAUCGUCCGCAUACUGAAUCAUAUUAACCUGAAUCUUCUUAGCCCCAACCUCCAAACUAUCCACCAUAUUUUUCUCAACUGCAUUCCUUACAACUCCUACAAGGCCUUCAGCCACUAUAAGAAACAAGAACGGAGCGAGGGGGUCUCCUUGUCUCAAGUCCUUUUUGGGGAUACUUAAGUUUGCUAUAUUGUGCUAUAUUUUUAGUUUAAGCUAGUUAAUAGAUUUUGUUGGUAGAACUUGUAAAAAUGUUGGAAUAUCUUUAAAGUGUUUUUUUAUUUUAAUUUAAUUAUUUUUUGUUGAUAAAAAAUAUAUAAAAUUAUACUAUUUGAAUAAAUAUAUUUAAGUAUAUAAAUAGUAUUAUAUUUAAAUUUGUAAUUAUAAAUAUUUUGAUAUAAAUGCUCCUGAUAAAACGUAUACAUCUUGAACAUGGAUUACAGCUCUAACCUCCCUGGAAAGCCUUGCGCACACAUUAAUUGACGAAAAGGGAGUGGUUGAGACAACCAAACUUCCUCAAAGCCUUGCCGACAGACUCAUUGAAGAAAAGGGUGUGAGUUGAGAGAAAUAUAGCCUCCUUAACAUUUAAAAUACACUUUAAACGACUAAAUUAAAUAUUAUUUAAUAUUUAGAUUUAUGCUUUAAAAAAACAGUAGUAUAUCUAUGGAUAAUAAUUAGUUUGAAUUUAAAACAAAAGUGUUAAGGAGGCUAUAUAACUCAACCAUUGCUGCAAACUGACAACACAACUCUUGACAAAGCCAAGAAACACCUCAAAGAAGAAGAGUGAGAAGACGAUGGAGUAUGCAGCACAACAGGGAGACAUAGAUAGUCUAUACAGAUUGAUUGAGCAGAAUCCACAUAUUUUAGAAGAGAUAGAUUUGAUACCAUUUGUCGAAACUCCUUUGCAUGCUGCUGCACGUGCAGGGCAUGUUCAAUUUGCCAAAGAAAUCAUGAUAUUAAAACCUUCAUUUUCUUGGAAAUUCAGUCCUCAAGGAUUGACACCGGUUCACCUUGCUCUACAAAAUCGCAAUCCCAGAAUGGUCUUUCACCUUAUACAGAUGGACACGAGUCUCGUUCGAGCCAAAAUGAGAGGAGGUCUCACUCUUCUGCAUUUGGCAAGUCAAUCCGGAGAUAUAAACCUUUUAACUGUGUUUCUCAAAGUUUGUCCUGAUUCCAUACAAGAUUUGACUAGUA
rnacentral:lncRNA from 1 species